CAGCCGCCACGGUAAUACGCAGGGUGCAAGCGUUAAUCGGAAUUACUGGGCGUAAAGCGUGCGUAGGCGGUUUGUUAAGUCUGUUGUGAAAGCCCUGGGCUCAACCUGGGAAUUGCAGUGGAUACUGGGUCACUAGAGUGUGGUAGAGGAUAGUGGAAUUUCCGGUGUAGCAGUGAAAUGCGUAGAGAUCGGAAGGAACAUCUGUGGCGAAGGCGACUAUCUGGGCCAACACUGACACUGAGGCACGAAAGCGUGGGGAGCAAACAGGAUUAGAUACCCCGGUAGUCCCUGUCUCUUAUAC
rnacentral:rRNA from 1 species